AACUCAAAUGAAUUGACGGGGGCCCGCACAAGCGGUGGAGCAUGUGGUUUAAUUCGAUGCAACGCGAAGAACCUUACCUACUCUUGACAUCCAGAGAAUUCGCUAGAGAUAGCUUAGUGCCUUCGGGAACUCUGAGACAGGUGCUGCAUGGCUGUCGUCAGCUCGUGUUGUGAAAUGUUGGGUUAAGUCCCGCAACGAGCGCAACCCUUAUCCUUUGUUGCCAGCGAUUCGGUCGGGAACUCAAAGGAGACUGCCGGUGAUAAACCGGAGGAAGGUGGGGAUGACGUCAAGUCAUCAUGGCCCUUACGAGUAGGGCUACACACGUGCUACAAUGGCGUAUACAAAGAGAAGCGAACUCGCGAGAGCAAGCGGACCUCAUAAAGUACGUCGUAGUCCGGAUUGGAGUCUGCAACUCGACUCCAUGAAGUCGGAAUCGCUAGUAAUCGUAGAUCAGAAUGCUACGGUGAAUACGUUCCCGGGCCUUGUACACAC
rnacentral:rRNA from 1 species